rnacentral:lncRNA from 1 species
CUCGACCGGGAAACUCUGGGUAUAUCGCCGGCAUUGAGUUGUAUUGGUACGAAACAUUUUAUCGAAAAACACUACAUGGAGCAGGCUUCUAUUCUGAUUUAAGCCCUUGGAUUUCGCCAUUAAAUAGUGUGUUCUCACUUUGUUCUAGCUAGUGUUAUUUUCUCUUAUAGCAUUCGUAGAUCGAUCGUGCAUGCUAAAUACACUAGAGCUCGUCAUGUGUUGCAUUUGGCCCA